AGCAGCCGCGGUAAUUCCAGCUCCAAUAGCGUAUAUUAAAGUUGUUGCAGUUAAAAAGCUCGUAGUUGAAUUUCGGGGUUAGUAGGUUGGUCAUGCCUCAGGUAUGUACUUAUCUCACUGAUUCCUCCCUCUUGACGAACUGUAAUGUCAUUAAUUUGGUGUUGCAGGAAAUCAGGACUGUUACUUUGAAAAAAUUAGAGUGUUUAAAGCAGGCUUAGGCUUGAAUACAUUAGCAUGGAAUAAUGAAAUAGGACGUUUGAACCUAUUUUGUUGGUUUCUAGGAUCGACGUAAUGAUUAAUAGGGAUAGUUGGGGGCAUUAGUAUUCAAUUGUCAGAGGUGAAAUUCUUGGAUUUAUUGAAGACUAACUACUGCGAAAGCAUUUGCCAAGGAUGUUUUCAUUAAUCAAGAACGAAAGUUAGGGGAUCGAAGACGAUCAGAUACCGUCGUAGUCUUAACCAUAAACUAUGCCGACUAGGGAUCGGAUGAUGUUAAUUUUUUAAUGACUC
rnacentral:rRNA from 1 species